rnacentral:lncRNA from 1 species
CGCUCGCUCGCGAUAGAGUGUGUGUGGUUGGUCGGUCGGCUGCUCCUCGGCUCUGUGAGCGCGCGCGUGCGUGUGCGCGGGAGUGCGUGUGUGUGUGUGUGGAUGCGUGUGAGCGGGAGUGUGUGUGUCGCUUCGCUCGCGCUUCUCUCGCGCUUUCCUCCACCUGCAGCGGCAGUUUUGUGCGCGAGACACUCCGCGCGCGCACAGAGAGAGAGAGGAGCGUGGAGCCUAGCGGCGCGAGCGCGGGUGAGAAACAACGGAGAGACGCCGGGAGAGAUAGGAGCGCGCGCGCCUGGAGGAAAUAACGUUUUUAUAUAUUUCUGAAUCUGUGUUUUAUCGCGUGUCACGAGCGCGAGGAUGAUCGGGAGCGGUUUACUCCGGUUCUUCGGAUCCGUGCUGCUGCUGGGGAUGUACGUGGAGCUGCAGGUGAAGGCGGAGUGUAAGGCUGGAUUUUCUCAGAGUUUGUACACACUGCACCUCUCAGCGGAUCUGCUGCAAGACCCCACUGUCCACCUGCCCACAGCGUUUCCUGACCCCGGCGGUGGAUCGGUGACCUCGUGUCAGAUAAUCCGGUCUGAUAGUGAUCCGGUCGGUGACCUGGCCCAGACUCAGAAGAGAGGCGACGCUUUGAUCUCGAGCUUCAGGGCGUCUGAGUGAAUGAAGGCAGAACCUCACUAAUGUGCUGAAAUACGGCCGAGCUUCUGCAGCUGAGCAUGCUAAUACACCUCCCACCACGGCUUAUAAACCCUCACUACACUAUACUCACUAUACUCACUAUACACACUAUAAUAUACAACCAUUCACCACAUCACACUAACACUACACUCACUAAUGUGCUGAAAUACGGCCGAGCCUCUGCAGCUGAGCAUGCUAAUACACCUCCCACCACGGCU